rnacentral:miRNA from 1 species
GCAGACACAUUCCAGCCAAUCAGCAGCAGACCCUCCCUCCCAGACCGUCCCAACUUCUGGACAGCAUCCAUUUUGAAGCUGCAUUCUUAGUGAGCUGUCCAGGAGGUGGGAGGGUCUGGGAGGGAGUGUCUGCUGCUGAUUGGCUGGAAUGUGUCUG